GACGAACGCUGGCGGCGUGCCUAAUACAUGCAAGUUGAGCGAUUAAGAUUGGUGCUUGCGCCAAUUUGAAGAGCAGCGAACGGGUGAGUAACGCGUGGUGCAUCUGCCUUUGAGCGGGGGACAAAAUUUGGAAACGAAUGCUACUACCGCAUAACAACUUUAAACAUAAGUUUUAAGUUUGAAAGAUGCAAUUGCAUCACUCAAAGAUGAUCCCGCGUUGUAUUAGCUAGUUGGUGAGGUAAAGGCUCACCAAGGCGAUGAUACAUAGCCGACCUGAGAGGGUGAUCGGCCACACUGGGACUGAGACACGGCCCAAACUCCUACGGGAGGAAGCCGUAGGGAAUCUUGAGCAAUGGACGAAAGUCUGAACAAGGAACGCCGCGAGAGAGAAGAAGGUUUUCGGAUCGUAUAAGUCUGUAUGGAGAGAAGAACGUUAGGGGGAGUUGAAAGCUCAGAAAAUGACGGUAACUACCCAGAAAGGGACGGCUAACUACGUG
rnacentral:rRNA from 1 species